rnacentral:rRNA from 1 species
GAUGAACGCUAGCGGCAGGCUUAAUACAUGCAAGUCGAGGGGCAGCAGCUUUAUAGCAAUAUAGAGGCUGGCGACCGGCAAACGGGUGCGGAACACGUACACAACCUUCCUUUAAGAGGGGGAUAGCCCAUAGAAAUGUGGAUUAAUACCCCGUAACAUAUCGGUGUGGCAUCACACUGUUAUUAUAGUUUCGACGCUUGAAGAUGGGUGUGCGGCUGAUUAGGUAGUUGGCGGGGUAAAGGCCCACCAAGCCUUCGAUCAGUAGCUGAUGUGAGAGCAUGAUCAGCCACACGGGCACUGAGACACGGGCCCGACGCCUACGGGAGGCAGCAGUAAGGAAUAUUGGUCAACGGACGCAAGUCUGAACCAGCCAUGCCGCGUGAAGGAUGAAGGUCCUCUGGAUUGUAAACUUCUUUUAUAGGGGGCGAAAAAAGGGAAUUCUUUCUCACUUGACAGUACCCUAUGAAUAAGCACCGGCUAACUCCGUGCCAGCAGCCGCCGCGG